rnacentral:rRNA from 1 species
AUUGAACGCUGGCGGAAUGCUUUACACAUGCAAGUCGAACGGCAGCACGGACUUCGGUCUGGUGGCGAGUGGCGAACGGGUGAGUAAUGUAUCGGAACGUGCCCAGUCGUGGGGGAUAACGUAGUGAAAAUUACGCUAAUACCGCAUACGAUCUAUGGAUGAAAGCGGGGGAUCGCAAGACCUCGCGCGAUUGGAGCGGCCGAUAUCAGAUUAGGUAGUUGGCGGGGUAAAGGCCCACCAAGCCAACGAUCUGUAGCUGGUCUGAGAGGACGACCAGCCAGACUGGAACUGAGACACGGGCCAGACUCCUACGGGAGGCAGCAGUGGGGAAUUUUGGACAAUGGGCGAAAGCCUGAUCCAGCCAUUCCGCGUGCAGGAUGAAGGCCCUCGGGUUGUAAACUGCUUUUGUACAGAACGAAAAGGUUUCUACUAAUACUAGGAGCUCAUGACGGUACUGUAAGAAUAAGCACCGGCUAACUACGUGCCAGCCGCCGCCGUAA